rnacentral:rRNA from 1 species
GACGAACGCUGGCGGCGUGCCUAAUACAUGCAAGUAGAACGCUGAAGAGAGGAGCUUGCUCUUCUUGGAUGAGUUGCGAACGGGUGAGUAACGCGUAGGUAACCUGCCUUGUAGCGGGGGAUAACUAUUGGAAACGAUAGCUAAUACCGCAUAACAAUGGAUGACACAUGUCAUUUAUUUGAAAGGGGCAAUUGCUCCACUACAAGAUGGACCUGCGUUGUAUUAGCUAGUAGGUGAGGUAAUGGCUCACCUAGGCGACGAUACAUAGCCGACCUGAGAGGGUGAUCGGCCACACUGGGACUGAGACACGGCCCAGACUCCUACGGGAGGCAGCAGUAGGGAAUCUUCGGCAAUGGAGGCAACCCUGACCGAGCAACGCCGCGGGAGUGAAGAAGGUUUUCGGAUCGUAAAGCUCUGUUGUAAGUCAAGAACGGGUGUGAGAGUGGAAAGUUCACACUGUGACGGUAGCUUACCAGAAAGGGACGGCUAACUACGUG